rnacentral:rRNA from 1 species
AGUGAACGCUGGCGGUAGGCCUAACACAUGCAAGUCGAACGACAGCACAGUAAGAGCUUGCUCUUACGGGUGGCGAGUGGCGGACGGGUGAGGAAUACAUCGGAAUCUACUUUUUCGUGGGGGAUAACGUAGGGAAACUUACGCUAAUACCGCAUACGACCUACGUGUGAAAGCAGGGGAUCUUCGUACCUUGCGCGAUUGAAUGAGCCGAUGUCGGAUUAGCUAGUUGGCGGGGUAAAGGCCCACCAAGGCGACGAUCCGUAGCUGGUCUGAGAGGAUGAUCAGCCACACUGGAACUGAGACACGGUCCAGACUCCUACGGGAGGCAGCAGUGGGGAAUAUUGGACAAUGGGCGCAAGCCUGAUCCAGCCAUACCGCGUGGGUGAAGAAGGACUUCGGGUUGUAAAGCCCUUUUGUUGGGAAAGAAAAGCAGCAGGUUAAUACCCCGCUGUUCUGACGGUACCCAAAGAAUAAGCACCGGCUAACUUCGUG